GGGCGCGUAGCUCAGGGGUAGAGCAUCUGCCUUUUAAGCAGAGGGUCGGUGGUUCGAAACCACCCGCGCUCA
rnacentral:tRNA from 3 species